rnacentral:sRNA from 19 species
AUCGGUUCAAGUCCUGAUAGGAUUCGUUAUACGAAGAUGCCUUGUAACCGAAUAGCUUGUCUAUAGGGGGACAUUAUG